rnacentral:rRNA from 1 species
GAUCAUGGCUCAGGAUGAACGCUAGCGACAGGCUUAACACAUGCAAGUCGAGGGGCAGCAUGAUUUGUAGCAAUACAGAUUGAUGGCGACCGGCGCACGGGUGAGUAACGCGUAUGCAACUUACCUAUCAGAGGGGGAUAGCCCGGCGAAAGUCGGAUUAAUACCCCAUAAACAAGGGUCCCGGCCGAUGGGAAGUAUUAGUUUAAGUAAUUACUAUCGCUGAUAGAUAGGCG